CCUACGGGGCGCAGCAGUGGGGAAUAUUGCACAAUGGGGGAACCCUGAUCCAGCGACGCCGCGUGAGUGAAGAAGUAUUUCGGUAUGUAAAGCUCUAUCAGCAGGGAAGAAAAUGACGGUACCUGACUAAGAAGCCCCGGCUAACUACGUGCCAGCAGCCGCGGUAAUACGUAGGGGGCAAGUGUUAUCCGGAUUUACUGGGUGUAAAGGGAGCGUAGACGGUGCAGCAAGUCUGAUGUGAAAGUUCGGGGCCCAACCCCGGGACUGCAUUGGAA
rnacentral:rRNA from 1 species